GGAGGUAUGGCUCAGUGGUAGAGCACAUGCUUAGCGUGCAUGAGGCCCUGGUUUCAAUCCCCAGUACCUCCG
rnacentral:tRNA from 1 species